GACGAACGCUGGCGGCGUGCUUAACACAUGCAAGUCGAACGGUGAACGAGGGAGCUUGCUCCCUCCGGAUCAGUGGCGAACGGGUGAGUAACACGUGAGCAAUCUGCCCCGAACUCUGGGAUAAGCGUUGGAAACGACGUCUAAUACCGGAUACGACGCGGGAGGGCAUCCUCUCCGCGUGGAAAGAACUUCGGUUCGGGAUGAGCUCGCGGCCUAUCAGCUUGUUGGUGAGGCAACGGCUCACCAAGGCGACGACGGGUAGCCGGCCUGAGAGGGUGACCGGCCACACUGGGACUGAGACACGGCCCAGACUCCUACGGGAGGCAGCAGUGGGGAAUAUUGCACAAUGGGCGCAAGCCUGAUGCAGCAACGCCGCGUGAGGGACGACGGCCUUCGGGUUGUAAACCUCUUUUAGCAGGGAAGAAGCGAAAGUGACGGUACCUGCAGAAAAAGCACCGGCUAACUACGUG
rnacentral:rRNA from 1 species